GCCCCUACCCAGUAUGGUGGUUAUGACUAUCGGCUUGUAUUCGAGUGGGCUCGGGUUCGAAUCCCGAAUAAAGGCA